UACGGAGGGUGCAAGCGUUAUCCGGAUUCACUGGGUUUAAAGGGUGCGUAGGUGGGCUGGUAAGUCAGUGGUGAAAUCUCCAGGCUUAACUUGGAAACUGCCAUUGAUACUAUCAGUCUUGAAUACCGUGGAGGUCAGCGGAAUAUGUCAUGUAGCGGUGAAAUGCUUAGAUAUGACAUAGAACACCAAUUGCGAAGGCAGCUGGCUACACGAAUAUUGACACUGAUGCACGAAAGCGUGGGGAUCAAAACAGG
rnacentral:rRNA from 1 species